GAAGGCAGGUUACUAAGNAACAACUGACGCUGAUGGACGAAAGCGUGGGGAGCGAACAGGAUUAGAUACCCUGGUANNNACNNNNUAAACGAUGCUAACUCGUUUUUGGAAUGUAAGUUUCAGAGANUAAGCGAAAGUGAUAAGUUAGCCACCUGGGGAGUACGAACGCAAGUUUGAAACUCAAAGGAAUUGACGGGGGCCCGCACAAGCGGUGGAUUAUGUGGUUUAAUUCGAUGAUACGCGAGGAACCUUACCAAGGCUUAAAUGGGAAAUGACAGGUUUAGAAAUAGACUUUUCUUCGGACAUUUUUCAAGGUGCUGCAUGGUUGUCGUCAGCUCGUGCCGUGAGGUGUUAGGUUAAGUCCUGCAACGAGCGCAACCCCUGUCACUAGUUGCCAUCAUUAAGUUGGGGACUCUAGUGAGACUGCCUACGCAAGUAGAGAGGAAGGUGGGGAUGACGUCAAAUCAUCACGGCCCUUACGCCUUGGGCCACACACGUAAUACAAUGGCCGGUACAGAGGGCAGCUACACUGCGAAGUGAUGCAAAUCUCGAAAGCCGGUCUCAGUUCGGAUUGGAGUCUGCAACUCGACUCUAUGAAGCUGGAAUCGCUAGUAAUCGCGCAUCAGCCAUGGCGCGGUGAAUACGUUCCCGGGCCUUGUACACACCGCCCGUCAAGCCAUGGAAGUCUGGGGUACCUGAAGUCGGUGACCGUAACAGGAGCUGCCUAGGGUAAAACAGGUAACUAGGGCU
rnacentral:rRNA from 1 species